rnacentral:rRNA from 1 species
UACAGAGGGUGCGAGCGUUAAUCGGAAUUACUGGGCGUAAAGGGCGCGUAGGCGGCCAUUCAAGUCAGAGGUGAAAGCCCAAGGCUCAACCUUGGAACUGCCUUUGAUACUGUUUGGCUUGAGACCGGUAGAGGUAAGUGGAACUGCGAGUGUAGAGGUGAAAUUCGUAGAUAUUCGCAAGAACACCAGUGGCGAAGGCGGCUCACUGGCCCGGUACUGACGCUGAGGUGCGAAAGCGUGGGGAGCAAACAGGG